AUCGUAAUAACAUUUUGCAAGAUUACUGUUUUUUUCUCUUUCUGUAUUCCUGAUCAAAUAAAUGCAGCCUUGAUGAGCAGAAGAGACUGUACAAGUCUUACUGAUCCCAGACCUUUGACCGGUCGUGUAUAUAUACGUGAGCACAAACCCGGUGCGUCACUGAUCAGAACACAUGUUAAGUCUUGUUUGCUUCACAGGUUGCUGGCUCGAAAGCUGGUGUGGUGCGUUUCUUGGGCGUGACGGAUUUUGCGAAGGGAGAGUGGUGUGGAGUGGAGCUGGACGAGCCCUUGGGAAAGAACGACGGCGCUGUGGCGGGAACCAGGUAUUUCCACUGUCAGGCCAAGCAUGGUCUGUUCGCACCGGUGCACAAGGUGACCCGGAUAGGUUUUCCCUCCACCACCCCGGCCAAGGCAAAGAGCACUGUGCGGAAAACAUCCACCCCGCCGUCAGGCCUGAAGCGCAGCCCCAGCGCCUCCUCCAUCAGCUCCAUCAGCUCCGUGGCCUCGUCUGCUGGUUGCAAGCCCAGCCAAACAGGACUGCUGACGGAGACGUCCACACAGUAUGCGAGGAAGAUCUCCGGCACCACGGCACUGCAGGAGGCGCUGAAGGAGAAGCAGCAGCACAUCGAGCAGCUCCUCGCCGAGCGCCACCUGGAGAGAGCGGAGGUUGCCAAGGCGACCAGCCACGUGGGAGAAGUGGAGCAGGAGCUGAGCUUACUGAGAGAAGGCCAGGAGCAGGUGAGAGCCAGCCUGCCCUCGUCUGUCUCGGUGUAAUACGUGUCCAGUAAGAAUAAUAGAGAAUGAGCUGUUGAAGUAUAGAAGAGCAGUGCACUGCACUCCAGCCCCAGCACAAAGUGGGGUUUUUAUUCUGUUAUUCUCUAUAACCUCAAGUAGAGGUGGCCGGUACAAAUCCUUAUUUCACAGUAUGAGAGAUUUAGUUUUUCGCGAUCUUAAAGGGACAGCAGCCUAAUAAAGCUGUUCGUCUGUCAUUAAUGUUGAUCGAA
ensembl:lncRNA